rnacentral:rRNA from 1 species
CCUACGGGGUGCAGCAGUGGGGAAUAUUGGACAAUGGGCGAAAGCCUGAUCCAGCCAUGCCGCGUGUGUGAAGAAGGCCUUCGGGUUGUAAAGCACUUUCAGUGGGGAAGAAAGCCUUGGGGCUAAUACCCUCGAGGAAGGACAUCACCCACAGAAGAAGCACCGGCUAACUCCGUGCCAGCAGCCGCGGUAAUACGGCGGGUGCGAGCGUUAAUCGGAAUUACUGGGCGUAAAGCGCGCGUAGGCGGUCUGAUAAGCCGGUUGUGAAAGCCCCGGGCUCAACCUGGGAACGGCAUCCGGAACUGUCAGGCUAGAGUGCAGGAGAGGAAGGUAGAAUUCCCGGUGUAGCGGUGAAAUGCGUAGAGAUCGGGAGGAAUACCAGUGGCGAAGGCGGCCUUCUGGACUGACACUGACGCUGAGGUGCGAAAGCGUGGGUAGCAAACAGGAUUAGAUACCCCAGUAGUC